AUGCCAUCAAGAACCCUGAUGUGUCCGUGGAUGAGGCUGAAUCUGCUCCAGCGCGUGCAACAGAUUGCAUUACCUUUCAAGCUCAAAUAAACCGGGUGGGUUUGGGAACCUUCCAUGUCCCCAAAGUGAACUGGAGGAAGAGGCAGAGGCCGAAAGGACCAAACGGACUCUCAAUUCUCAAAAAGGAUUUCACUUGCUACCAUUGCUUGAGGAGAGAUGAUCACUUGUUUAAGUGAAGAGGACAUGGAAGAUGAAGAUGUCAGAAGCGAUAGGGGAUGCAGCUGUUGCGCCUUUCUAUAUAUCAAUAGAAAUUCAAAUUUUCUGUAAAUAAUCUGGGGUGCUCGACUUCUACCCUUGAAUCUGAGGGUGAAAAUUGUGAAGCCCUCCACGGACUGGAUAGACACCAAACCUAAUCAAGCAGCAGCGGGCCUCCACUGAGACACUGGGCACCGAGGGCGGCUGAGAGAAGGC
ensembl:lncRNA